rnacentral:rRNA from 1 species
UACGUAGGUGGCAAGCGUUGUCCGGAAUUAUUGGGCGUAAAGCGCGCGCAGGCGGUCUUUUAAGUCUGAUGUGAAAGCCCACGGCUCAACCGUGGAGGGUCAUUGGAAACUGGGAGACUUGAGUGCAGAAGAGAAGAGUGGAAUUCCACGGUGUAGCGGUGAAAUGACGUAGAGAUGUGGAGGAACACCAGUGGCGAAGGCGAACUCUUUGGUCUGUAACUGACGCUG